GCGCCCCGGCUCGGACAGCACGACCCGCCGUCCGCCCACGGGUCGGAGCUGCUCCCGCUGAGCGCCCCAGCCUCCGGCUCUGCGCGGUGGGGCGGCUUUUUCGGUUUGCAGAGAGAGGUGAAAUAAGAGGCAGAACCUCGGUGAGAACUGAGGGCAGACAGACAGAAAUAGAGAUGCAAUGGCUGGAGCUUCAGUAGCCACUUUGACCUGUAAUGUCAUCAAAAUGAUGGAGCAGAUAAAACCUCAACUGGAGAAAAGCCGAUUUAAUUAGAGGAGGCGAGACAUCGGUGAAGAUGCUGAUGACAAUGUCUGGACACUUUCAAGAGCUUCACAAGUUGUGCUGACUGUAGAGACUAAAUCAACAGACUGCUUCCACCGGGUUUAGCUGUGGAGGGCACCUUGAUUGA